UUUAAGCAUUGUGUAAAUGGCACUUUGUGUUACCUACUGUACGAGGGAAGUGCACACCCUCUAAGUAGUUCUUAAAUGAACCUUUGCUAAAGGGCUGAGAAAAAGGCUCUAUUACCUUAUAUUGUAAGCACAGAUACCUAUAUAGCUUAUUGUAAUAUAAGAACGCUAUGUUAUAUUAUUCCAAUUUAAUGAGUAGAUGUGAAUUUUGGUAAGUCUCACAACAUACUAUGUAAAGUUUUGAUUCAGUUGGUGUAACAAUAUUUGGCGAAAUUAAGGAGGGGUGAAUGUAACACGGUUAACACAGUUAACUUAAAUAUAUAAAUGUUCGCCAAAUAUCUCAGAUCUGCAAGAGGUUAAAUUCCUGACAGGAAGAAUCACUUGGACUGUACCAAAAUACUGACCAAAAGUGCAGAAUAUACCUUUGAAUGUUUUACUGUUAAUUAUGUUCUAGUUAAGAAAUAAAUAGUUCUAACAGAGCAGCUAACUUCUGUGGGAAAGAUCAUAGCCACACUCUAAACAGAAUCUUUACCAGACCAUAAUCCUUAAUGGACUUUCCCUUACCCCCUGUCUAUAUCCCACCAUUUGGUCUGGUCCCUCCUCAGUGCUUUAGUUCCACAGAAGAGGUCCCCAGCAGACAGUGCCAAUCAAUAAAGCAUUGUAAAGUUA